AAUGACCGCUGCACCGGGGGAGAGUAGGAGGAGGAGCAGCCACAGGAGGGAGUCGUCGCCUGCCGCCCCGUCGCGUGAGGAGGAGGAGGAGCAGGUGCCCCAGGAGGACGCCGAGGAGGCGCAGGAGGACGCGCAGGAGGACGACGAGGAGGCGCAGGAGGACGCGCAGGAGGACGACGAGGAGGAGGCGACAGCAGGGGGUUCCGCUUCCUCUAGUUCGUCGAGCGUCUACUUGUGAGGUCCCGCGAGCCUCCCUCAGCGACCGAUACCUCGUGAGAGACGCCCGCUGAUUCGACCCGAGGGGGAAAAGAACUGGACGAUUGUGGCGAGUGGAGGUUCUCACACACGCCAAGUCAAUGGCAUCCUCGGUCUUCUGUGCAAGGAGCACUUCCCUGGCCUGGUUGAGUACGCCGGAGUGACGGGGCCGGCCUACUCGUUUGACCAUUAUGCCGCCGCCCCCGAUGCUGCAGAUCGGGCCCGCAGGGUAUUCAACAACAAGGCGGAGCGGGUGAAGCAAGAGCUGUGGGAUUUCUUUAGAUGCCAGGACGGACAUGAGGCCAGGGCGGAUGCGGUGGCUACCAAAUGCUGCAAAAAACUCGUCGUGGACAUGCAUUACGAGGCGCGCAUCCAGGCCGUUGUAACUUACCAUGGGACCAUCGUUGGAACGAAGGUCACCAAAAGGGACGCAAGAACCAUGACGCUGA